CGGGGGAGGCAAGCGUUGUUCGGAUUACUGGGCGUAAAGGGCGCGUAGGCGGCCACCGCAAGUCGACUGUGAAAUCUCUGGGCUUAACCCAGAAAGGUCAGCCGAUACUGCGGGGCUAGAGUGCAGAAGGGGCAACUGGAAUUCUCGGUGUAGCGGUGAAAUGCGUAGAUAUCGAGAGGAACACCUGCGGCGAAGGCGGGUUGCUGGGCUGACACUGACGCUGAAGCGCGAAAGCUAGGGGAGCGAACGGGAUUAGAUACCCCGGUAGUCCUAGCCUUAAACGAUGAAUGCUUGGUGUCUGGGGUUUUAUAGUCCCCGGGUGCCGUCGCUAACGCUUUAAGCAUUCCGCCUGGGGAGUACGGUCGCAAGACUG
rnacentral:rRNA from 1 species